ACGGGAGGCAGCAGUGAGGAAUAUUGGUCAAUGGACGCAAGUCUGAACCAGCCAUGUCGCGUGCAGGAUGACGGCCCUAUGGGUUGUAAACUGCUUUUUUACAGGAAUAAUUGUCGCUACGUGUAGUGAUUUGAAUGUACUGUAUGAAUAAGGAU
rnacentral:rRNA from 1 species